GACGAACGCUGGCGGCGUGCUUAACACAUGCAAGUCGAACGGAAAGGCCCUGCUUUUGUGGGGUGCUCGAGUGGCGAACGGGUGAGUAACACGUGAGUAACCUGCCCUUGACUUUGGGAUAACUUCAGGAAACUUGGGCUAAUACCGGAUAGGAGCUCCUGCUGCAUGGUGGGGGUUGGAAAGUUUCGGCGGUUGGGGAUGGACUCGCGGCUUAUCAGCUUGUUGGUGGGGUAGUGGCUUACCAAGGCUUUGACGGGUAGCCGGCCUGAGAGGGUGACCGGCCACAUUGGGACUGAGAUAAGGCCCAGACUCCUACGGGAGGCAGCAGUGGGGAAUAUUGCACAAUGGGCGGAAGCCUGAUGCAGCAACGCCGCGUGCGGGAUGACGGCCUUCGGGUUGUAAACCGCUUUCGCCUGUGACGAAGCGUGAGUGACGGUAAUGGGUAAAGAAGCACCGGCUAACUACGUG
rnacentral:rRNA from 1 species